GCCUAGUUAGCUUAGUUGGUAGUGCGUCUGCCUUGUAAGCGCUAGGCCGCGGGUUCGAUUCCGCUUGGGGCG
rnacentral:tRNA from 1 species